GACAGAGGUGCCGAGCGUUAGGCGGAAUCACUGGGCUUAAAGCGUGUGUAGGCGGGUCGUUAAGUGUCUUGUGAAGUCCCCCGGCUCAACCGGGGAAUGGCUGGGCAUACUGGCGAUCUUGAGCAGUCUAGGGGCAGAUGGAACAAGUGGUGGAGCGGUGAAAUGCGUAGAUAUCACUUGGAACGCCAAAGGUGAAAACAGACAGCUGGGGAUGUGCUGACGCUGAGACACGAAAGCCAGGGGAGCGAACGGG
rnacentral:rRNA from 1 species